rnacentral:rRNA from 1 species
UACGUAGGGUCCGAGCGUUGUCCGGAAUUACUGGGCGUAAAGAGCUCGUAGGCGGCUUGUCGCGUCGAUUGUGAAAGCCCGGGGCUAACCUCGGGUCUGCAGUCGAUACGGGCUGGCUAGAGUGUGGUAGGGGAGAUCGGAAUUCCUGGUGUAGCGGUGAAAUGCGCAGAUAUCAGGAGGAACACCGGUGGCGAAGGCGGAUCUCUGGGCCAUUACUGACGCUGAGGAGCGAAAGCGUGGGGAGCGAACAGG